rnacentral:rRNA from 1 species
GAUGAACGCUAGCGGCAGGCUUAAUACAUGCAAGUCGUGGGGCAGCAUGAGUAGCAAUACUUGAUGGCGACCGGCAAACGGGUGAGGAACACGUACACAACCUUCCUUCAAGCGGGAAUAGCCCAGAGAAAUUUGGAUUAAAUACCCCCAUAAAUAUAUUUGAUAAGGCAUCUUAUUAAAUAUUAAAGCUUCGGCACUUGAUGAUGGGUGUGCGGCUGAUUAGAUAGUUGGCGGGGUAACGGCCCACCAAGUCUACGAUCAGUAGCUGAUGUGAGAGCAUGAUCAGCCACACGGGCACUGAGACACGGGGCCCA